rnacentral:rRNA from 1 species
AGCGAACGCUGGCGGCAGGCCUAACACAUGCAAGUCGAACGAAGUCUUCGGACUUAGUGGCGGACGGGUGAGUAACACGUGGGAUCGUGCCUUUAGGUUCGGAGUAACUCACGGGAACUUGUGCUAAUACCGAAUGUGCGCAUCGGGGGAAAGAUUUAUCGCCUUUAGAGCGGCCCGCGUUUGAUUAGCUAGUUGGGGAGUUAAAGGCGCACCAAGGCGACGAUCAGUAGCUGGUCUGAGAGGAUGAUCAGCCACAUUGGGACUGAGACACGGCCCAAACUCCUACGGGAGGCAGCAGUGGGGAAUCUUGCGCAAUGGGCGAAAGCCUGACGCAGCCAUGCCGCGUGAAUGAUGAAGGUCUUAGGAUUGUAAAAUUCUUUCACCGGGGAAGUUAAAGACGGUACCCGGAGAAGAAGCCCCGGCUAACUUCGUGCCAGCCGCCGCUGUAAGAC